UACGUAGGGGGCAAGCGUUGUCCGGAAUCAUUGGGCGUAAAGAGCGCGUAGGCGGCCCUGUAAGUCCGCUGUGAAAGUCAAGGGCUCAACCCUUGAAUGCCGGUGGAUACUGCAGGGCUAGAGUCCGGAAGAGGCGAGUGGAAUUCCUGGUGUAGCGGUGAAAUGCGCAGAUAUCAGGAGGAACACCGAUGGCGAAGGCAGCUCGCUGGGACGGUACUGACGCUGAGGCGCGAAGGCUAGGGGAGCGAACGGG
rnacentral:rRNA from 1 species